AAUAAAGUAAACUAUAAAAGUUUUAGAUCUCAUAAAUCUAAUAAGACAAAUAUCCUUUAUUA
rnacentral:tRNA from 1 species